UGUUAGGUUUAGAUUAGUAGUUUGUUGUUGUUGGGUUUUUCGGUGGUGUUGAUUUUUUUUGUUGUCGUUGUGGGGGAUUGUUUGUUUGUUUGUUUUUAUUUUGGUUUUUUUUCUGUAUUAAAAAUCUGGCUCAGUUACUCUCUAGUUCUGGUGUGUUCUCUUUUCCAGGUGGUUGGUGUUUCUGCAGUGUUUGGCACAGGACUGGGGGAGAUUUUUACCCAGCUUUCUAAAGCUGUAGAUGAAUAGGAGAGACUGAAUGCACUCCCUUUAUUCACCUUUUCAGAGAGUAUCGGCCAGAAUACGAGCGCCUGAGAAAAACACUGAAUCCACAGGUAAAUCUUUGUCUACGGGAGAAAGCUCAAAAUAAACAAAAGAGAGAGCAGCUGGAACACUUGUGGAAGGACAUGGGCAGCGUGUGUGUGCAGGGCAGCACACUGGCAGCGUGUUUUGUUGGCCGACGGUAAGCAGGACCUGGGUGAAAAGGACAUUCUCUGAGGUGCUGGGAGAAGGAGGACUCGUGCGGGCACCUCCAGAGACAGCGGGAACGGGAGCGUGCUGCGGAGAAGGAAAAUUCCAGGGGAAUUGCCACGAGAGGAAAUACUUCAGAGGGGCUUCCCUCCGGAUAAGCCCUGAAUGUGCCAGGAGGUUUCAGCCGGGAGAAAGGAGCUGUGGAAGAAAAGCAGCCUAAAAAUAGCCAGUGGGGAUCAUCAGGUUUUCCAGGCAAGAAGAACAAGGAGAGAGAUGAGGGAAUCGGGUUCCAAUUCCUAAUGAUUUGGUGGGUGCAGGAAUGAUUUUUGUGUGUUUUCCAGUCCCUUUUGAUUCCUGAGAUGAUUUUAAAAUGAUGGCUUUAGCAAUCAACUAAAUCGGAGGUGUUGUUUUUGAGAGGAAAUGAUGCCAAAUAAAUGCAGAGUUUUGGGUCA